rnacentral:rRNA from 1 species
UACGGGGGGGGCUAGCGUUGUUCGGACUUACUGGGCGUAAAGGGCGCGUAGGCGGUCUGCUAAGUUGGAUGUGAAAACUCUGGGCUUAACCCAGAGCCUGCAUUCAAUACUGACAGGCUAGAGUUCUGGAGGGGAUAGCGGAAUUCCUGGUGUAGCGGUGAAAUGCGUAGAUAUCAGGAGGAACACCGGUGGCGAAGGCGGCUAUCUGGACAGAGUCUGACGCUGAGGCGCGAAAGCUAGGGGAGCAAACAGG